CUCAUUUGAAGUUCAAACUAAGUGCUAUUGCAUUGUCUUGUUAUCUUGCAUUUGUUGAUUAUGCAAAUCAAAUGUGUUGACUGGUCCUUUAAAGGUUAUUCAUUCUUCAAGAUUCCCUUCACAACAAUGGUUGGCGAUAUCAAUGACAAAACUUGGAUGAGCUUCUGAACUGAAACAUAACCAAAUGGAAUAUAGAUGGAAAGGAAGCCAAAAACUAGUUAACCAGAGCUCUGAAGACACGCUAACCCAACCAGCGGAAAACCCGACGCUUUCAAACACCAGCGAAAAAUCCUUAUCGCUCACUCAUAACUGUUAGCUCUCCACACGUAAUCAA